CGGGCCGCCCCCCGCCCGCUGACCCCGCGGGCCCGACCGCCGCCAAGACCCGCCGUCCCCAGGAAAGGCGGGACGGGCGCGCCGAGCCCCGCGCCGGCCUCGGGGUCGGGACUCAGGAGGACCCCCACAGGACCGUGUCAGCCGGGGUUGGACUUGGGGGAACCUUCUCAUGAACAUGCCUGGGGAGGUGAACAUCACCACGAUCUCCAGCUCAGCCCCAUUCUAAAAGCAGCCGGAUUGGGAGGCAGACAUUCACUCCCCAGAGGACAGCUAGAAUGGGUUGGCCAAGGGCUUGCCCUGCCUGUUAAGUAGAAGUUACUCGCCUUGGAGCACCGCGUGCCUGCUUCUGGUUUGGGAUUGUCUCCGACAGGUGGCACGUACCUGCCUCUUCUCCGAGGAUGGACGAGCGGAGCCGGGCACAAGCAUGGAGCUGCGGGUGAGUCCCGGCUGGUACUGGCGCGGCGCGGUGAGCAGCAGCUGACGCAGAGGGCUCCCUGGCCUCGGCUCCUGCCCGCCUCUCCCCCACCUCCGCCGGGGGCCCGGUAAGGACCUCCCCGGGAAAUCGGCGCCACCCAGCGGGCAGCCGCCUCAUUGCGCCCCGGCCGGCAAAGCCACGCCGCGCGUCUCGCGUCACUGAGACGCGUCACGGCUAUUGGCUUGUUCCUAUUGUGGCGUCAGGAGAGCCCCGCCCGGCCGGGGUCUCCCAGGCGACCGGUAUAUACAGAGAAGCACGUGGAGGAAAAGCGCGCGAGCUCAGAGGGGGUGGAGCGCGACAAGAAGUGGACCGGCUCCAAUUCUGCUGGGUUGGUGGGAAAUGCAUCUUUGCCAUCUUGGAGCCUCCUGAGCCAAGUAGUGAACGAAGUAAAACAGAGCACUUGCACUGGAGCAACUGGCUGUCAUUGUGUUUCCACACCCCUGCCAAAGCAGGAAACCCAAGAGCACUGUGAAGAGCUUGAUUUUUCAUCUUCCUUGUGUAUGGAACCGUGCAUGAAAUCUUGCUACUGGUUAUCACGGUGAACGUUACAGUAAUAAUGGUAUCAGCAGUACUAACGAGCCGUAAAUGUGUUGAGUUCUUUUCAGGUUUGAAAGCUUUUCCCACCUGUCUUUUCAUUUAAUUCUUCAACAACCUGGGGAGCAGUCAGUCAGAUACGACACCCAAAGUGUGAUGCAUCAAAGAAAAAAAUUAAUACAUUGGACCUCAUCAAAAUUAAAAACCUCUGCUCUUCAAAGGAAAAUGCUAAUAAUGUCCAUCCACUGAUGACACAGUGAUAGACACAUAUGAUGAAAUAUUCUUUGGCCAUGAGAAGGAACAAAGUACUCACGGAUGUCACCACAUGGAAAAACCUUGAAAGCAUUAUACGCAAUGAAAGAAGCCAGUCACAAAUGGUCACAUAUUGACUAAUUCCCUUUCUGCUAAAUAUAAAUAGGCCAAUUUAUAUAGAUUAGUGGUUGCUAGGUUUGGAGGAAGGAAGGGAAAAUGGGAUUUACCACUAAUGACUAUGGGGUUUCUUGCACAAAGGACAAAAAUGCCCUGAGAUUGUGGUGAUGU